rnacentral:miRNA from 1 species
ACUUAUUCUGGACCGGAGGGA